GACGAACGCUGGCGGCGUGCUUAACACAUGCAAGUCGAACGGAAAGGCCCUGCUUUUGUGGGGUGCUCGAGUGGCGAACGGGUGAGUAACACGUGAGUAACCUGCCCUUGACUUUGGGAUAACUUAAGGAAACUGGGGCUAAUACCGGAUAGGAGCUCCUGCUGCAUGGUGGGGGUUGGAAAGUUUCGGCGGUUGGGGAUGGACUCGCGGCUUAUCAGCUUGUUGGUGGGGUAGUGGCUUACCAAGGCUUUGACGGGUAGCCGGCCUGGGAGUGUGACCGGCCACAUUGGGACUGAGAUACGGCCCAGACUCCUACGGGAGGCAGCAGCGGGGAAUAUUGCACAAUGGGCGGAAGCCUGAUGCAGCGACGCCGCGUGCGGGAUGACGGCCUUCGGGUUGUAAACCGCUUUCGCCUGUGACGAAGCGUGAGUGACGGUAAUGGGUAAAGAAGCACCGGCUAACUACGUG
rnacentral:rRNA from 1 species